CGUAUGUUAUAUAUACUCCCACAAACCUCAAAAUUCAUGCCGUGUAAAUUGACUACUAUAAUAAACUCUUGCCCUCUCGCACCUCUGCCGUCAUCAAGGACAUCUCUUAAUUUCCUCCAUCUCCUGACGGGGAUUACUAGGUGGUUCUUCCGAAUUAAGAUUCCGUACCUUGAGAAAUCAGGCGCGUUAAAGGUUGGUAAAGGUACUUAGCUACGAGUGAGGAGACGCUUAGAAUAACCACCUAGUCAAGAGACAAUUUCUUUUCCAGUUUAAGUUGGAUUUUGUUAUUUAUUUUAUGGGGAUUAAUUGGUUGUAAUAUUUUAUUGACCACCUUUAGACCACUUAGUUAAUUUUGACUUUAAUGGUUUUAAAUAGUUUUGUUGCUUUCCAUUUAUUUUCUAUGGAGAAUAAAUGUAGCAGUAACACUCCCAAGGUUUGGACGAUUGUUUUAUGAUAUAAAAACAUGAUUUUUGAUUAUAUAAAAGGUCCAAAUUUUGGGGUGUUACAAAUUGGUAUCAGAGCUUAGGUUUCGGAUCUAUUGAUGCCAGUGUCGAGUUUUAAAUUAGGACUAAAUGGAAUAAUUAAGA